rnacentral:rRNA from 1 species
AAUGAACGCUGGCGGCGUGCCUAAUACAUGCAAGUCGAGCGAACAGAUGAGGAGCUUGCUCCUCUGACGUUAGCGGCGGACGGGUGGGUAACACGUGGAUAACCUACCUAUAAGACUGGGAUAACUUCGGGAAACCGGAGCUAAUACCGGAUCAUAUAUUGAACCGCAUGGUUCAAUAGUUAAAGACGGUUUUGCUGUCACUUAUAGCUGGAUCCGCGCCGCAUUAGCUAGUUGGUAAGGUAACGGCUUACCAAGGCAACGAUGCGUAGCCGAUCUGAGAGGGUGAUCGGCCACACUGGAACUGAGACACGGUCCAGACUCCUACGGGAGGCAGCAGUAGGGAAUCUUCCGCAAUGGGCGAAAGCUUGACGCAGCAACGCCGCGUGAGUGAUGAAGGUCUUCGGAUCGUAAAACUCUGUUAUUAGGGAAGAACAAAUGUGUAAGUAACUAUGCACGUCUUGACGGUACCUAAUGAGAAAGCCACGGCUAACUACGUG